UCUAAGUAGAGACGUCAGCAAUGACGUGAAACCGCGAACGGCUCAUUACAACAGCCAUAAUCCACUUGAUCUUGACGCAUCCUACACGGAUAACUGGGGUAAUUCUCGAGCUAAUACGUGCACACAACUCAUGGUCGCAAGACUGUGGGUGCAUUUAUUCGGCGCAAACCAGCAUGUUGCCGGCAACGGUGGCAUAGUGGUGAGACAGAAUAACUCGGCUGAUCGAUGGGUGUUAGAGCCCGUUGACGUGUCUUUCGAGUGUCUGCCCUAUCAACUCACGUAGGUAGUGUACCGGACUACCUUGGUUGUGACGGGUAACGGAGAAUGAGGGUUCGACUCCGGAGAAGGGGCCUGAGAAAUGGCCACUACGUCUAAGGAUGGCAGCAGGCGCGCAAAUUACCCACUCUCGGUUCGAGGAGGUAGUGACGAGAAAUAACGGGACUUCCGCCUCGUGCGGUUAGUCACUGGAAUGGGUGGAGUGUAAACCCUUCCACGAGUAUCAAGCAGAGGGCAAGUCUGGUGCCAG
rnacentral:rRNA from 1 species